ACAAUGGACAUUUCUGAGCAUAACUAAUCUCUUUUUUUUUUUAUUUUGGUCCUAUUCGCAUCAGCACCAAUCCAGUGCUUUGAAAUGAAUUCAAAUACUGUGCUCUCUGAAGGGAUGAGGAUUAAAGCUUAAGCUGGGUCCAGGGAUGAGGUGAGAGGAAAAAACCCUCACAAAUCCGAUGCUUUUUUUCCUCCUAAGAAGUGAAAAGCAAUGAGCUGUACUAUAUAAAAGAAAGGAAACGGCCAUUAGCCCGAGGGGAGGUCCUGAGUCGUCCAAAGGUUCUCCAGCGGGCAAACAAGAAAGACAGCACUCCUGCCCCGAUCCGUACACACUGGAGCAUCCAGAAUGGGGUGUGAUUGCUAUACCAAAAUCUACAAAAUGUGAAAUAGUAAAGGAAAACUAUCAGAUGAGAACAAUUAUUUUUAUUCCAAAGAUAUAGGUAAUAAAUGUGAAUAGAUAUAUUCAUGAAAUAAACAUGGAAGGCUAUAUAAGAAACUAGAAACUCUGGUUGCCUUUGAGAAAAAGAAUUGAGAGCCUGGG
rnacentral:lncRNA from 1 species